rnacentral:rRNA from 1 species
GACGAACGCUGGCGGCGUGCUUAACACAUGCAAGUCGAAGGGAAAGGCCCCCUUGUGGGGUACUCGAGUGGCGAACGGGUGAGUAACACGUGAGUAACCUACCCUUGACUUUGGGAUAACUUCAGGAAACUGGGGCUAAUACCGGAUAGGAGCUCCUGCUGCAUGGUGGGGGUUGGAAAGUUUCGGCGGUUGGGGAUGGACUCGCGGCUUAUCAGCUUGUUGGUGGGGUAGUGGCUCACCAAGGCUUUGACGGGUAGCCGGCCUGAGAGGGUGACCGGCCACAUUGGGACUGAGAUACGGCCCAGACUCCUACGGGAGGCAGCAGUGGGGAAUAUUGCACAAUGGGCGGAAGCCUGAUGCAGCAACGCCGCGUGCGGGAUGACGGCCUUCGGGUUGUAAACCGCUUUCGCCUGUGACGAAGCGUGAGUGACGGUAAUGGGUAAAGAAGCACCGGCUAACUACGUG